GGCAGUAUUUCAUGUAUAUGAAGUCAAACAGUGUGCCACUUUGUGGAGAAAACCAUAACCAUACCAAGCACAGAAUGCAUCUCGUCCGGGUGGAGGCCAGCAACUUGAAAGGUGCACAAUGGGUGGCUCCCAGGGAAAGGAGCCUGCAGUGUCUGGCACCGAACAUGCUUGGCAUCGAAUGCUUCUUAAGCAGAUGAAGACAAUAGAAUAUUCUUUUUUUUUUUUUUUAUUCUUUAGUUACUGAAUCGGUGUGUCUAGGCAUACUCUUCGGGAAGGCAGGGAACUGAGCCUGGGGGUUCAGCAAGACUGAACACUUGGAUUAGAGAAAUGGCCUACCACACAUGGUAACUCUUGGUCCAAUCUUCUCUUGCCCACUUUGGGUCUUUAGCCUACAUAGGCUGGCUACCCUAGUCAUCUCUAUGGCUGAAUUCAGAGAUUAGAAAAGAAGAUAAUGCAA
rnacentral:lncRNA from 1 species